CCCUUAGAUGUCCUGGGCUGCACGCGCGCUACACUGAUGUGUCCAGUAAGCACCUAACCUCUUCCGAAAGGAACGGGUAACCUUUGCAAAGCACAUCGUGAUGGGGAUAGAUUAUUGCAAUUAUUAGUCUUGAACGAGGAAUUCCUAGUAAGCACAAGUCAUCAGCUUGCGUCGAUUACGUCCCUGCCCUUUGUACACACCGCCCGUCGCUCCUACCGAUUGGGUGUGCUGGUGAAAUGUUCGGAUCGGCCGUUUGUCGCGGUUUCCGCGUCAUGUGGCUGAGAAGUUCAUUAAACCCUCCCACCUAGAGGAAGGAGAAGUCGUAACA
rnacentral:rRNA from 1 species